GUUAGAACAAGGAAGUCAGAUUGGAGCAGGUGAAUGUUCACGUGCUGAUGACAGGGAUUUGGGGAAUCGCAGAGGCAGUGACUUUAAGGAGGGCCAUGAGAAACUUUGGCCCCUGUGACUCUCGUAUUACAUAUUUUUUUUUGACAGGCAGAGUGGGCAGUGAGAGAGACAGAGAGAAAGGUCUUCCUUUGCCGUUGGUUCACCCUCCAAUGGCCGCCAUGGCCGGCGCGCUGCGGCCGGCGCACCGCGCUGAUCCGAUGGCAGGAGCCAGGAGCCAGGUGCUUUUCCUGGUCUCCCAUGGGGUGCAAGGCCCAAGCACUUGGGCCAUCCUCCACUGCACUCCCUGGCCACAGCAGAGAGCUGGCCUGGAAGAGGGGCAACCGGGACAGAAUCCGGCGCCCCAACCGGGACUAGAACCCGGUGUGCCGGCGCCGCAAGGCGGAGGAUUAGCCCAGUGAGCCGCGGCGCCGGCUCGUAUUACAUUCUACAAUGAGUAGAGGACCCAGAGUGUGCCGUGGCUUUUAUUUGACAUCUCUUUUAAAAUUUUAUUAUUUAUUGAUUGGAGAGUUAGAGUUCCAGACAGAAAGAGGGAGAGGGACAGAAAGGUCUUCCAUUCACUGGUUCACUUCCCAGAUGGCCACACGGCUGAGCUGGGCCAAUCAGAAGCCAGGAGCCAGGAGCUUCUUCCGGGUCUCCCACUUGGGUGCAGGGAUCCACGCACUUGGGCCGUCUUCCUCUGCUUCCUCAGACCACAAGUAGAGAGCUGGAUCAGAAGCAGAGCAGCGGGGACGGGAACCGGCGUCCAUAUGGGAAGCCGCUGCCGCAGGUGGAGGCUUAGCCUCGUAGGCCACAGCGCUGGCCCCUUGUUUUGUUUUUAAAGAAGGCCUUCCGGAAAAGCCUAUCAUAUUCCUAUUUCUGACUCCAGUGCUAAAUCUCAAGUUAAUUUUUUUUACCUUGGACUUGUUUACAUAACAUUUUUCUCCUGCACAAACCUAAACAUGGGAGGGAGUGUCUCAGCAUGUUUCAGAACCCUGCAGAGGAAGGUGCCGUGAGGAGAAGGUAUUAAAUUAAUUCAUGUCCAAUAAGUGGUUGCCAGCAUCAGUAAGCACGAAUUCGGCGAUCGAGACGCCAUGACCAUAGAGGAGACACAAUCAACUCAGACUGCCUUUGAAGAGAAUCCGCACCGCUUCUGACACAACCACAUCGGGAAAGGAUCUCACGAGUUGGCAGCUACCAGAGGCGUGCCCGAAUGGUGCUCACAAUCCUUCGUCACAACCAGCACAGCGCGCAGCUAGGCUAGCAGGUGGUUCUCAGUGCAGGGUCAGACUUGGAGCAGGAGGCAGCCUCCUUCCCAGCCGUGUGGCUGCUGCUUUUCUACCCAGAGAAGUGGAAGCCGAGAGGACUUGGGCGAGCCGGGCAGUCGCACACCUCCGCCUUCUGUCGAUCUGUCCCGUGCAGAGUCCACCUGUCAUAGCACCUUGACUUUUCAAAUUGGGCUUUUGUGAGAAGAGAAUGCCUUCAGAUCCCUGUGGUGUCCUGAACCUAGUGGGGUUUGUUUUCCUCUGAAGAAGCCUUUUUAGUAACUCAUUACGCAAACUCUGCUGAGCACUCACCAACGAAGAAGAAGCACUUGUUUGUCCAAUUAGCACAAGCUGAACUGCAGAAAUAAACGUUUAUUGCCUUAAACAAAUUGCCCAAUUACUUUACAGAUCAGCCUGUGUGUUUUGUUUGAUUGGGCCUCAUUUGUAAUAGUAAAACAACAAUUGCCACCAUUUACGGAGCGUGUCUGUGCCGGCUCUGAGGGAGAUGCUGCCGCCUUUACA